AUACGGAGGGUGCAAGCGUUACUCGGAAUCACUGGGCGUAAAGCGCGCGCAGGCGGCUAUUUAAGUUGGAUGUGAAAGCCUACGGCUCAACCGUAGAACUGCAUCCAAAACUAUUUAGCUAGAGUGUGGGAGAGGAAGAUGGAAUUAGUUGUGUAGGGGUAAAAUCCGUAGAGAUAACUAGGAAUACCAAAAGCGAAGGCAAUCUUCUGGAACACUUCUGACGCUGAGGCGCGGAAGCGUGGGGAGCAAACAGGAUUAGAUACCCUAGUAGUCC
rnacentral:rRNA from 1 species